rnacentral:rRNA from 1 species
GACGGGGCCCGCACAAGCGGAGGAACAUGUGGUUUAAUUCGAUGAUACGCGAGGAACCUUACCCGGGCUUGAAAUGCAUCUGACCGGCCUUGAAAGAGGUUUUUCCCCUUCGGGGCAGAUGUGUAGGUGCUGCAUGGUUGUCGUCAGCUCGUGCCGUGAGGUGUCGGCUUAAGUGCCAUAACGAGCGCAACCCUCAUCAUUAGUUACCAUCAGGUAAGGCUGGGGACUCUAAUGAGACUGCCAUCGUAAGAUGUGAGGAAGGUGGGGAUGACGUCAAAUCAGCACGGCCCUUACGUCCGGGGCGACACACGUGUUACAAUGGGUGGUACAAAGGGCAGCUACCUGGCGACAGGAUGCUAAUCUCCAAAACCACUCUCAGUUCGGAUCGGAGUCUGCAACUCGACUCCGUGAAGCUGGAUUCGCUAGUAAUCGCGCAUCAGCCACGGCGCGGUGAAUACGUUCCCGGGCCUU